rnacentral:rRNA from 1 species
UGGGGAAUAUUGCACAAUGGGGGAAACCCUGAUGCAGCGACGCCGCGUGAGCGAAGAAGGUUUUCGAAUCGUAAAGCUCUGUCCUAUGGGAAGAUAAUGACGGUACCAUAGGAGGAAGCCCCGGCUAACUACGUGCCAGCAGCCGCGGUAAUACGUAGGGGGCAAGCGUUGUCCGGAAUCACUGGGCGUAAAGGGUUCGCAGGCGGAAAUGCAAGUCAGUUGUGAAAGGCAGAGGCUCAACCUCUGUAAGCAAUUGAAACUGUAUUUCUUGAGAGGUGGAGAGGGAAGUGGAAUUCCUAGUGUAGCGGUGAAAUGCGUAGAUAUUAAGAAGAAUACCGGGGGCGAAGGCGACUUGCUGGACACAAACUGACGCUGAGGAACGAAAGCGUGGGUAGAAAACAGG